rnacentral:rRNA from 1 species
AACGAACGCUGGCGGCAUGCCUAACACAUGCAAGUCGAACGAGACCUUCGGGUCUAGUGGCGCACGGGUGCGUAACGCGUGGGAACCUGCCCUUAGGUUCGGAAUAACUCCCCGAAAGGGGUUCUAAUACCGGAUAAUGUCUUCGGACCAAAGAUUUAUCGCCUUUGGAUGGGCCCGCGUUGGAUUAGCUCGUUGGUAGGGUAAAAGCCUACCAAGGCGACGAUCCAUAGCUGGUCUGAGAGGAUGAUCAGCCACACUGGGACUGAGACACGGCCCAGACUCCUACGGGAGGCAGCAGUGGGGAAUAUUGGACAAUGGGCGAAGGCCUGAUCCAGCAAUGCCGCGUGAGUGAUGAAGGCCUUAGGGUUGUAAAGCUCUUUUACCCGGGAUGAUAAUGACAGUACCGGGAGAAUAAGCUCCGGCUAACUCCGUG